ensembl:rRNA 5_8S_rRNA 5.8S ribosomal RNA
AACUCUUAGCGGUGGAUCACCGGCUCGUGCGUCGAUGAAGAACGCAGCUAGCUGCGAGAACUAAUGUGAAUUGCAGGACACAUUGAUCAUUGACACUCGAACGCACUGCGGCCCCAGGUUCCUCCUGGGGCUACGCUGUCGAGAGGUCG